CCUGCCCCUAAAGGUGCUGGAGGUGUGACUGCUGUGUCACAUGUGCAUCAGUAGGUGACAAAGUGAGUGGGUGGAUCUAUACUCAGUGUUCUAACCUGUGAACCUCUGAAUGUGGUACAAGCAUAACA
ensembl:snoRNA LOC120094920 small nucleolar RNA SNORA17